rnacentral:lncRNA from 1 species
GUUUUAUCUAAGGCUAGGGUCUUUUGAAUAUAUGUGAUGUCAUCAAAAGAUUGUAGUUCUGGCAUUUGAGAGCCAAGCAUCAUUGAGAGAAGAUUUAUGAAGAGAUUGGCAUGCUGCUGAAUAGCUAGAUACACCUUGUAACACAUCUCCUGAAACCUUUCAAAUUCUCUGGUCUUGUACAUUCUUGGGCCCCUUUGCUUAUCACUAUUAAGGAAUCUUGCAUCAAAACAAAUGGCACACGUUCUUGUUUAUAACCAAAUUGUUUCUUCUUGUGAUCCAAAAAGUGUCCAAAAUCUAUAUGAAGUAGUUGUCCAUCUUUCACCAUGUUACUAUUGUGAUGGUCUCCAAUUCCCAAAAUGAAGGUAGUCACGCAAUAUCCAACACAUGAAUGUGUAAAGAGGUCAAUGACUGCAUCAUAUAUUUCUUCUUUGCUCUUGUCUUUGAGCCACGGAUGUGUGGCUAUUGAACUGCAGUGCACUUUUCAGGCCCCCUUUGCACUGAAUCUGCAUGAUAGUGUGAGAAUUUCUUACCACCUCAAAAAGACCUAUGCAGUCACUGAUUGAUAGACAACCGUAAGGCAACGUUCGAAGAUCAAGACCUUGAUUUUGCCAGAUAUUUUCCAUAAUGUGAAUAAUUUGAAGCAUUAGCAUAUCUUAGUGUAAAUCAUCCCCAUUUUUAAAGAUGAUCUUAUUGUUUGAAACAGUAACUCUGUUACGAUGUCUGGGUUCUCCCAAUUCAACCACAAUGCCCUUUUUGCAGAAGACAUAAUUCGACACUCUUCAAGCCUGAGAUUUCCUACUUGAUAAGCAGGGUUUAGAGGAGACAGAAAGCCCUGUAGAGCAUCCAUGAAAUCUGGUUGCCUCAUUUGCUCAACUAAAAAGUUCAUCUGUACCUUUUGUGUCUCAUCCUUCUUCUCCUCCUUGAGAAUGUCAGUUAAGUUAAUGAGCUUUUCCAUAGCUUCAACUUGCCUACUCAGGUGCUUCAGAUACAUCCCACAGGCACUACAAUAGGAUUCCAAAAUCAGACAAUUUUUGACUGUUUUAUUAUGGAUCUCAGAUUUAAAUGCCAGAAGAAUAAGUGUCCAAUCCUUUGAUUUGUUAGUGCUUUCUUGAGUAAAAAAAUCUCACAAGCAGGUUAUCCAAAUAUUGUUCAUAUUUUAGGACCUGUACUAGCUGAAUUAGGUACUGAGAAAGCUUGUCAUCUGUCAAAUAUUUUUCCAAGUAUCAAACAGCAAAACCUCUAACCAUAGGAUCUGGGUAAUUACAGUCCAGAAACUCCAUUGCCUGCUCAGGUUUGAUCAGGGGCCAAUAUUUUACUAAGCAAUACAUCUGAGCUACUUCAUCUCUAGAAUUCCAUUUAAUGGACAGAAGGAAUUUAGGUAGAAUUUCAGGGGUAGUUACACAAUAGUGUCUGUUUUUCCACAGAAAAUUUUUCUCUUGCUCAGUGAUUUCAGAUAGAGAGUCUCCUGUACAAAUUGCUUGGAGCUGUUCUUUGUCAUUUUCUCUUAAUUCAUUGUCUCGAGCUAGUCUGCUACACAGUCCUGCAUGUGAAUAACUAAAUCCUGCUUCUUGGGAUACAGACCAAUUUGCAUGCUCUUCAAUCACUGACAUAUCUGGAAACUUUACCACACUGCACAACCAAUCAAACUCCAACUCUAGGCAUGGAGUUUCUUUGUUUGGAUUUGACCCAGUAACACCAAUAGGGUUCAGCAAAUCUUCUAAUCCAUGAGGUACUGGCCAAAGAGUCAAAGCCAUUUUUCUAGAUACUAGGGUGUCUGUGUAAUCAAACAAGUUUAUAUUUCCCCAGGCCAAUGGACAGUGCUCCUCUUUAGCACCCUUUCAGGCUUUAACAGAGCAAAUGGAAAGGCAAAGUUGAGUAGCAUGAGAAACAUCAAGAAUGUAUAUAUCAUAAUUCAGCCAUUCAUUCCACCUAGGAUUGGAACAAGGUACUCUUUGAGUGUUCACAUUGUCACAUAAGGGUUCUCCUCUGUGGUAGAUAACCUUUGGAACAUAGAUCUUACCAAUGUCUCGAAUAUUUACAUUUACAUAAGUUGCACAAAGAAUUUUUAUUCUGAGUGCACUAUUUAUAACCCAAAGGGAUUUUGUAGAUGUUUCUCCAUUCAUAUACGGUGUAGCUGUAGAGAUGCCUCUGGAAUAGGAUGGCAUUGUAAAACAGUCCAUUGGCAGUUGAGAGUAAAGGCUUUCUUUAGCCAUCAGCAUCAAAUUGGGCAUCCUCCCAAGCAUUAUAUAGCUUCUUAUAUACUUAUACUGUCUCAGGGGAUAUUUUUUCUAGGAAGUAUUCAUCACACCCACAUACUUUUAAAAUAUACUUUCCCUGAUAUUCUAAAACACAGAGUUUUAGUUGUUCAGAGGAUAACAACAUACUUCGAGGUUUUUUUCCUGAUUGCUUCAGCAAUUACUUGUUCUGGUACACAGUCAUGGUUGAUUUUCAAAAUAUACUUCUGUUUGGCAUUAUUUGGAGAAACUAUUACCCAAAUCACCACAAUUAUUUGACCUUUAUCUAAUUUAUUGUAUAUGUGCUUUGGCAGUUCUGGUGAAGAUUCUACAUUUGGAGGAUAGGCAUACAUUGCUAUACUAUGAGGUGAAUUGAGAUCCCUAAGAUCCACAGCUUCUUUGCAAACAUUCAAAAUAUUUCUUCAGAAGUCCUGUACUUCUGGAUCUUUAACCACAUCAAAUUCACACACUGGCAUGUCGAUAACAAAACCAAUUUCUCGACUGAGGUUCUUCACGGUUGCCUACUGGUUCAAUUACUUUUAAAAAGGACUGAAAAAGCCGAAGGUCACAAAGUCGUCUUGUUUCAUCAAAAAAACUCUUCUCUUUCUGCUUCUUGGGUAACGAGAAAAUGUUAGAAGAUUCAUCUUGAAGAAGUUGAUGGAGAGGGUAUUUUCUUGCUUCCUUAAAUAGUUCAUGCUUUAUGGUUAUUAAUGUAACCUCAUGGAGGCAUUCUAGUCACGAUCUUUCCAUUUGGUAGUAAACACUCUACUAGGAUUCUUGAGGGCAUCAAGUGGAUGCCCCACAGUUUACCUGGUGAUGGUCCUGGAGGCAUUGUUCUGAUCCUCUGCAAGUUUUACAUAUAAAACUACUUUAUGUAAUUACAUCUAUGGCUGUUCCAAAGCAGUAACGCUCCGGGCUUCUCCAGGCUCCGCGGCUCUAACUGCGUCGGGGUCCAGCCCUGCGGGUGGUGGCAUUAACCUCAGGGUCCAGGGAGAGGAGAGCACGAGGCACGGACCACACCCCACACCCCCCCGCCAACCUCCGGACCUGCCCGGCCGGGCCUGAGCCCUGCCUCGCCAGCGGCCCUAGCCCCAGCCCCCCCCAAAACAUUUUUGUUGGAAAAUUUCAAAUAGUCCCAGAAAUAGAAUAGUUUAUUGAGCCCCAUGUCAUCAUCACCUUGUUUUGACAGCCUAGCCGUAUUUUGCCUUUUUUAUUUUCUUUACCGCUACUCUCAAUUUUUCAUUCUACUAAUUUCCUAAACUCAUAAAUCCCAGAUGUCAUGCCCCAUAACUCAUAAAUACUCCACUCAGCAUGUCUGAGAAUGGCUUCUUUUUAAAACAUAACAAUGAUACCACAAUUAAUAAAACAAAUAAUAAUUUCUUAAUAUCAUUUAACAAGAAUCCAUAUUCAAAUAUCUAGUUAUCACAAAGGUGUUUUUCGUAGUUGAUUUGUUGAAACCAGUAUGGAAAAAUUUGGUUGUGACAGCAGUCUCCUUCACGUUGAUUUGAUUUGCUGGAGAAAUCAGUCAUUGUUGUACCAGGAGGGAGAUAAUCUGAUUCUGUGAUACAGCACCCCUGGGAUUAUUAUGUGAGCCCCAUUUCUUCUUAAUUUAUAGAGUAAGACUAGGAAAAGGACCAAGACAAGAGCUUUCAGGGGCCAGUUUGUUUUCUCUCCCACCCACUCCAAGACAUGCAAAGGAGGGUGGACUCUAGAGAUGGGAAGGGUUUCCAAACAGGGACCUUGAGUUCUUCGCUGGAUGUGUGCUGAUCUGCAGAGUCCUAGACACAUGGCUGCCACUUCCAGAACAGAAGGUGGGAAAUUCUUGGUAGGUAGAGCUGAAGAGGUAUGGCUUAAGCAUUGUGGGUUCAUUUGAACACAAAUGUUUGUGCCUAAUGGAAAUUGGGAGAUUUCAGAAAGCCAUUAGUAGCUUGUACCUGGAGAGAAAGAACAGCCCUGGCCCAGUGGACAAGGCCAUGAAACUGGUAUCAGCUAUACCACCAUAGCUGGCUCCCUCAGAAGCACAAAGGAGAGCUUAGGUGUUGUCUAGAGCUCCAGGUGAAGGCAAAGAGGAAAGUUAAGUGCAAUAUGGCUGUCCUAAUGUCCACCAAACAGGAUUGUCCAUUUGGAGAUCUAAGUGAGAACAUAGAAUUGAGAGAGUGCCAAAUGAGGCACAGCUAAAUAAAGACCAGUAUGAAAACAAAAGGUAAAAACAGCACACAGGAUCAGUUUGAGCACAAAUAAAAUCAGCGGUGGUCACCUUUUGCCUCACUGACAUUCAGGGAGUUAUAUAAGACACUUCCUGCCACUAUUCUUGUCCUUUCCCCAUCCUACACAUCAAGGGAAUUAGAGUCCUUUUUACACUAUAUUUGAAUGCUUUUUAAAACUAGGUUGGACUGAGUGUUAAUAUAAUCAGAUGGCUGAGAAGUUAUGGAAAUUGCUCCACAUAUGGCUGUGUACUAAAGAGGAGAUGAUGACUGAAAAAAAAUAAAAAUCUUCUCAGAUUGAAAGUCCUUAAUACAUUCACAGUUUUUUCCUGUUAUUCAAUACUGAAUAACAUCUUCAGCUUUUUUUUUUUUUGGUACUGGGGAUCAAACUCAGGACCUUGUGCUUGCAAGGCGGGCGCCGAAACCACUGAGCUAAAUCCCCUGCCAACAUCUUCAGCUUUUUAAAAAAAAUUUUACAUUUUGAGGCAGGGUCUUGCUAAGUUGUUAAAUUUCCCAGGCGGGGUUUGAACUUGAGAUCCCCAUUUCUCAGGCUCCCAGAGUGCUGAGAUUAUAGGUGUCUGCCACCAUGCCUGCUCAAAUCUAUUUUCCUUGCUUCUGAACAUUAUGGUAUCAUUCUUUCCUCACACUGGCUUGCUUGUACUGCUUCAGUGUGUGGUCUGUAGCUUCUCCGAUCUCAAGGAUCUUCCAUAGAUGAGUACAUGACUUUCUUAAGGUUUUAUUCUAGUUUCCCUAGAAUAUUUUGGAGACUUUUGUAGGGAGCAUUAUUCUGCUGGAAAGUGGCAGUUCAUAAAUUGCCAUGAGUCAAAAUCUUUAUGUCCUUCUCAAUGCCCUAUGGCAUUGUAUAAUUCUAAUAUUCUGAGAUUCAUUUUUGUGUACAAUGAUUUUCCUAAUUGUAGUUUGGUUUUAAAAAUGAAAUAGCUUGAAAAGUAUUAAUUAGUUUGCUGAGGAGGGCAUCACCAGAUUAAAAGAGGCCACAAAAGGGUGUCAUCAGCAGGCUGCAAAUGGAAUGUAUUCAUCCCUUUGAAAAUUCCAUACCUUUACAUUUGUUAAUUAAUAAGGGAAUAUUGCAUGCUUAUCCCCCAAAGCAUAAAGAAAACAUUCAGUCAAGGAUACAAUAUUUUGACAACAAACAAAAACAACUGUUUAGAAAGAAACCUACAAAACAAGAGAUGAAAUGUAAUGUAUUUAGCAAUGUGUGCUAUUUUUAUAAGCAGUGUGGCUAGGCAUCAUCAGUAAUUUUUUUAUUUUUAAAUAAUUUGUGAAGAAGGGUUUCUUUCCCCCCAUAGCUCCACUAGCAUUUGUUGUUGGUCGAUUUCUUGAUAAUAGCCAUUCUUUCUGGAGUGAGAUGGAAUCUCAGCAUUGUUUUAAUUUGCAUCUCUCAAAUGACCAAUGAUGUUGAACACUUUUUUAUGUAUUUAUUUGCUGUUUCUACUUCAUCUGAGAAGUGUGUAUUCAUCUCAGAUGCCCAUUUUUGAAUUGAGUCUUUAUAUUUUGGUGGACUGAUGUUUUUCAAUUCUUUAUAUGUUCUAGAUAUUAGUCCUUUGUCUGGGGGCUGGUUAAAAUUUUGUUCCCACUCUACAACUGCUGUGGAAAUCAUUGUGGAGAUUCCUCAAGAAACCAGGAUUAGAGGUCCCUAUUCUCCCUUUCGGGUAUCUUUCCAAAAGAGUUAAAAUCAUCAUACCACAGAGAUAUAUGUGCACCCAUGUUUAUAGCAGCACAGUUUGUAAUAGCUAAAUCUUGGAAACAACCUAAAUGCCCACCAAUUGAUGACUGGAUAAAGAAAGAUUUUUUAUAUAUUGGCAUAGUAUUCAGCUAUAAAGAUGGAUAAACGAGACAUUUCUAGGAAUAAACCUGUAUUGGAUAAGCAGAAAGAAGUGGAAUCCAGUUGAAUGAUUUAGUUCCUAAUAAACAAACAGUGGUAACGAUGUGGACUUGUGCUUCAUUACUGAAUUAUUCUUUAAUCACUCUGUGUGUUGUUGCCUGUUUUUGGUGUCACAUUACCACGUAAUACACUAACAGAAAAAGAACUCUUUCCAAUUGUAGAAAUAAUUCCCAAGGACCAAAUUAGAAUCUUUAGUAGAUUGCAUAAUAGGAACAUAAUAGGAUAUGCUAAUAUCCUAUUUGGAUAUUAGCAUAUCCAAAGCAUAAUAGGAUGGAUGUAUUAAUAGAAUUUUUCCUUUUCAAAACAAUUUGCAGUAAAAAAAAAACAAGAAUAAGAUGGAAGGAAGAACAUUAAUGUUUCAAAGCAAAAAACCUUUUUUAUUUAAUAUCCAGAAAAAAAUUUGAGGUAGGUGUGUGCAUUUUUCUAAGAAAGAUAUUUAUUCAGUCUUUGGGAAAGCAUUAUGGACAAAUAUACUGUGCUCAAUCUAGAUAUAUGAGAAAUCUUUCCUUCCUUUUGAUUUUUCUUUCCUGUGGAAUUUACAUGACAUCAUCGCUUAGGAAGGAAACUAAUGUGUGUUUCUUUUAUCACAAUAUUUGAAAACAAUUAAUAUUACAAUAGCAAUACCUGUUGGGAGCAAUGUUACAUAGUUCUAGGGAAAAAUCAUUUGAGUAGGCCUAGUUCUCCUGCCUACAGCCCAGCUAGGACAUUUCAGACAUAAUUGCAUUUUGGCCUCUGGAAUAUGAAAAACAUGGUAUUUUAAACUGGGGUAUACCUACAUCAAAUCUUAUCACAAUAACAACAAAAACAGAAUGUGUCACUGGAGGAUUAGGGGUUCAAAAGAAUUGGGAGAAUAACUAUAUCCACCAUCCUCUUGCCUUCCCCAAAUAAAUUUCAUCUGAUUGAAAGUAUUAUGAAGAAUUUGUAUAAAAGAGAACAUUUGAUAUGGGUUUCCAAAUACAAGUAAGGUUUCUAUCAAGAGAGAUGAGAUGGUGUAGAGGAAAGUGGGUGUUUCAAAUGGACAGAAUGGCUUAUGGAAGGUGUGAUGAGCAUGUUCUUGGAAAAUGAAAUAGAAUUUAGUUGAAGUUUGUAGAAAACCUUACAUGGAU